rnacentral:rRNA from 1 species
GUGGGGAAUAUUGGACAAUGGGCGAAAGCCUGAUCCAGCAAUGCCGCGUGAGUGAUGAAGGCCUUAGGGUUGUAAAGCUCUUUUACCCGGGAUGAUAAUGACAGUACCGGGAGAAUAAGCUCCGGCUAACUCCGUGCCAGCAGCCGCGGUAAUACGGAGGGAGCUAGCGUUGUUCGGAAUUACUGGGCGUAAAGCGCACGUAGGCGGCUUUGUAAGUUAGAGGUGAAAGCCUGGAGCUUAACUCCAGAACUGCCUUUAAGACUGCAUCGCUUGAAUCCAGGAGAGGUGAGUGGAAUUCCGAGUGUAGAGGUGAAAAUCGUAGAUAUUCGGAAGAACACCAGUGGUGAAGGCGGCUCACUUGACUGGUAUUGACGCUAAGGUGCGAAAGCGUGGGGAGCAAACUGGAUUAGAAACCCUGGUAGUCC